GACGUAGGGUGCGAGCGUUGUCCGGAUUUAUUGGGCGUAAAGAGCUCGUAGGCGGCUUGUCGCGUCGAAUGUGAAAUCCCGUGGCUCAACUGCGGGUCUGCAUUCGAUACGGGCAGGCUAGAGUUCGGUAGGGGAGACUGGAAUUCCUGGUGUAGCGGUGAAAUGCGCAGAUAUCAGGAAGAACACCAAUGGCGAAAGCAGCUCUCUGGGACGGUACUGACGCUGAGACGCGAAAGCGUGGGGAGCGAACAGG
rnacentral:rRNA from 1 species